rnacentral:rRNA from 1 species
AAUGGGCGAAAGCCUGACGCAGCGACGCCGCGUGAGGGAUGAAGGUUCUCGGAUCGUAAACCUCUGUCAGGGGGGAAGAAACCCCCUCGUGUGAAUAAUGCGAGGGCUUGACGGUACCCCCAAAGGAAGCACCGGCUAACUCCGUGCCAGCAGCCGCGGUAAUACGGAGGGUGCAAGCGUUAAUCGGAAUUACUGGGCGUAAAGCGCACGUAGGCUGUAGUGUAAGUCAGGGGUGAAAUCCCACGGCUCACCCGUGGAACUGCCUUUGAUACUGCACAACUUGAAUCCGGGAGAGGGUGGCGGAAUUCCAGGUGUAGGAGUGAAAUCCGUAGAUAUCUGGAGGAACACCGGUGGCGAAGGCGGCCACCUGGACGGUAACUGACGCUGAGGUGCGAAAGCGUGGGUAGCAAA